CAUAGCGACUAUCGUGGCAUAUCAAUAAGCGGAGGAAAAGAAACUAACAAGGAUUCCCUAGUAACGGCGAGUGAAGCGGGAAGAGCUCAAAUUUGAAAUCUUAAAGGUUUUACCUUGACGAAUUGUAGUUUAAAGAAGUGUUUUCUGUUGAAGUUUUCGGUAAAAGUUCUUUGGAAUAGGACAUCAUAGAGGGUGAGAAUCCCGUAUUUGACCAUUAUUUCCAACUUUGUGAUACACUUUCAAAGAGUCGGAUUGUUUGGGAAUGCAGUCCAAAAUGGGUGGUAAAUUUCAUCUAAAGUUAAAUACUGGCGAGAGACCGAUAGCGAACAAGUACCGUGAGGGAAAGAUGAAAAGAACUUUGAAAAGGGAGUUAAACAGUACGUGAAAUUGUCAAAAGGGAAGCGUUUGACACCAGUGUUGUUUUUCCGAAAAUCAAUUAAAAAUUGAUUCAUGCUAGGUUGUAUUGACCUCAUCAGCUUGCAAUUUAGUUUUGGGUCUCUUUUUGAUGCACUUUUCGGUUAACAAGUCAACAUCAAUUUCCUUUGCUGUAAAAAGGUAAGAGGAAGGUGGCUUCAAUUUCGGUUGAAGUGUUUAUAGCCUUUUAUCUCUGCAGUCGGGGAGAUUGAGGUCUGCAGCGUAGAUCCUUCGGGGCUAGAUACAUUUAUGCUAAGUUAUAGCUUUUCAUAGACAACUUGUUGACUAUGUUAAGUCUUGUAGCUUACUCGCUUAUGCUAUUUUACCUACGCUUAGGAUGUUGAUAUGCAUGACUGAUAU
rnacentral:rRNA from 1 species